UGGUUGAAGGAGAGAACCUAUCCCCACAAGUAGUUCAUACACAGACAUCAAAAUAAAGAACUGUGAUUUUUUAAAAGACUAUAAAUUAUUAUAAAUGGAAGGAGAGUGCCUGGGAAUAUGGCUCCAUAGUUAGAUUGCUUACCUGGUAUGCAGGAGGCUCUGGGUUCAUUUCCCAGUAUUUCACAUACUUGAAAGAAAAGACCAUUUUAUACAAUAUAGUUACCAAAGCACAGAAUUCUAGAUGCAUUAGGUAUAGAAGGCCUGUCUGCUUCUCCUAAAACAUGUAGACAUAGUGACUACUAGAAAGGAUACCUGGUGUGUGAAAAUAGUGACUGACAAGGUCUUAGCAGCAGAUGGUGUAGAUUUUCAGUACUUUAUAUUUGUUUUCUAAUGUGAAUGUGUAAUAAUAAUAUAAAAAACCCUAUGUCUAUUUGGUACAACGUUUUACCUGUCAUUUAGAAUUUACUCUGGUUAUGUUUUGAGUCCGUUCAAAUGUUCUUGGAUUUAGUUCGUUUCUGUUUUCUGUCUCCCCCACCUAUCCACUCCCUUGAAAAUUGCCUGCAUCUCAGUCUUUUAAAGAUGAUGGAUGGAAAACAAUUAGCAAUGAAAGGCUUGAGUCCCAUCCUGUUUCACGGUUUCCAUUUCCCUCCUCUGUGCAGAUUUCUAUGGGAAGCCGCUGCCUCCCCUGGCUGUGCGACAGAGACCUAACGGUGAUGCUCAGGACACGAUCUCAUAACCAAGUCGGAUGGGUUGGUCCUUUUUAUAUCAGCAAGGUGAACUGAGACCUUUCCCCAAAGCAGAAAAGCCCUGAAUGCUGAUGAUGGGCAAGACAACCAUAAUGAUUUCAGGGAAGAAAGAAUAUCCAAGAACUUGACCUGAUAAUGUACUUCUCCAUCUUCUGUGGUUAAAGCAGAAAGGAAACAAAAUGACCAGUAGCUGAAAAGAGCAUCUGGCCACGUAAGCAGUCAUGGCAUCGAUGCUCUGGUUUACACAUCCCGACUUUUGGACAUACUCCUGAAGAAAAACCUCACAAGUUGAGCCAAUGGACUCUACAUACCUGAUUAUUUAAUAAUCUGUAUUUCUAUGCAUUAAACAUGUUUUAUAAGAUAUAUGUACAUGAAAGGGGAAUUCCUGGGAAAUUAUAAUCUAAAUUUUAACUAUUUUUAUAUUUUUUUCUAAACCUUUUGUUUAAGUUUGCUAUUGUAUUGACUACGCUCUUUCUACAGAUGCUCUGUUUAAACUGUCUGGAUAGAAAGUUGAUUUACUGUACACACUUGAAGUGUACAAGCAUGUAUGCUUUGUGAUAACAUUGUUUCUAAAAUGUACACUCCAUCUUGAUGUAAUUUUAAAAUAGUUACUAUUUUAAAAAGCAAAUUCUCAGAUCUUUAAUCUACCAAAUUACAUGAUUUGAGAGUGGUACCCAAGGAGAGAAUUCAGUUCUGUUGUUGCUGUUCAUUUUCCUUGGUGAUGAUAUCAAUAAAUGUUAAGAUGUGUG
rnacentral:lncRNA from 1 species